UUGCACAAAAAAUUUCACUUUGAACAAAAUAUUUACAUUUCAAUGAAGUGAAAGGCUUAACGGCAACAACGAAAUUGUGUACACCAACUUAUUGAUAUGCCGCUGCCGUCUUUGAAAUGUUCAAAAAUCUGGCUUCAAGACGACAUUUGCCGACAAGAAAGUUUCGCUGUCGUGCAGUCGUCCUUGUGUUCAAAGCAGUCAUGGAAAAGUACGCACAAUUGUGCAUUUUUCCCCAUUCUAACUGUAGUCGGCACUUUAACACAAUCGACCACUUGGCACUAUUUGUUUGAUAGACACACUACGUGAACGGAGCAUACAAACACACAUUCCAUACUAUUUGUAAUUAACUUUCAUUGAUCGAAUUUUCACUCUAUAGAUUUCACAAUACCUAAAAUCUCUGCAAAGAAAACUCCAGAGACACCAGCUCGAGAAAAUGUGCCACCUGUUUAGAAAGCGGCUAAGUCAGCAGCUAAGCGUAAAAAAGAAUACAGAGUACGAAAAAAGGUUUGGAAAUCUGCUCUAAACCAACACCAGAUUGAAUGUAGCUCGUCAACCAACGACAGUGCAUAUCUUAUGAAUGACGAACCAUCGCAGCAAAAUGCAGUCGCAAAUGAAAAUAUUUCAAGGGGCAAUAGUCGUUUUCAGUUUUGUGAAUAUUUUAAUAGUCGAGAUAGUACUACAAAAUAACCAAAUGAUGAUACAAGUAAUUAUCGAUUAAUUAUUGUUCAAUCUGACAUCCAACACCAAUAGUUAUAUUUGCUUUCACAACAUCUCGUUGAAAAUAUAUUGUAGUACACGAACAAUGUACUGAUUAACAAAACAAAAAAACAAAUGAAAAUUGUAAAAACACCAGCUGCACAUAGAAGUUGAGAGUAUAGAGCACGACGGAAAUAUUUGCAGAACAUUUAUUGUAACAAUCAUAGCAAAGCAAGUGUUGCGAUAUAUUACAAUGAAUGCGAUACAUUAAACAUUGGCGCUCCACAUUUUCAUAUGAGUGCAAUAAAAUCCACUGCAUAUACAGUGAGUUUAAUUGAAAUUGACGAUAUCAGCUUGAGUAAAUGUAAAUUAUCAAAUGGAGAAGAAAUUGUCAUCGCAGCGAUCUACAUAUCUCCUAACCAAAAAAAACACUUGAGGGUACCAUGUAUUUCAUGAGUUCGUUGGUUAUGUACACUCAGAGGGGAUAUAUUUUAAAAUGACAAAGCACGAUCUUGUUCACAUUGGCCGCUUUUGAGGUGCACAUAUAAUGGAUGGUGGAUCCUGUUUAUGAUUUGAAAACACAAGAUACGCCAGGUAGCUUCAUUGAAGCUGAUAAACCGACCACUUCGGUAUUUCGUUAUUUCAUCCUUUUCACAUUCAUCCAUUUGGAGGGAUAUUCACAUUAGUAUUUUAAUUCUAAAUUCACUUAUUUUAUUAAUACACAUAUACCUUCAAAUAUAUUUGAUGUUCUUCAAAAAACUGCAGAAUGGAACAUUAAUAUAAGUGUUGAUUGUUUUGCUCAGCAGAGGUGAAUAUGGUACGGUUAAACGAUUGUCAAUGUUAAUGUCUGCGAUAUCGACAUUUUUAGCACUAAGAAAUAAUGUUAAAUUCAAUAUGAGAAAAAAAAUUAACUUGAGAGUUGCCGUAAAAAACUAAGAUAAUACGUAUAACAGUAACUGCUACAAUCGAGACACAAAUAAUAUCAUUUUGUUUGUUAAAAAAAAUGGACUAAAACUGUACAGAUAAUGUUUUCAUUUUUGCUUCGUAAUUUUUUCUGGUUCAUAAGUGACAAUGGGAGACACCUGGCGGGGAUAACUAAUUGAUUAAUAGAAA